rnacentral:rRNA from 1 species
CCUACGGGAGGCAGCAGUGGGAAAUAUUGCGCAAUGGGCGAAAGCCUGACGCAGCGACGCCGCGUGAGGGAUGAAGGUCUUCGGAUCGUUAACCUCUGUCAGCAGGGAAGAACGGUCACUGUGCUAAUCAGCAGUGAAUUGACGGUAACUGCAAAGGAAGCACCGGCUAACUCCGUGCCAGCAGCCGCGGUGAUACGGAGGGUGCGAGCGUUAAUCGGAAUUACUGGGCGUAAAGCGCUCGUAGGCGGUAUGUCAAGUCAAGGGGUAAAUCCCCGCGGUCAACGUGGGAACUGCCGUUGAAACUGGCAAACUUGAGUGUGUGAGAGGAUAGUGGAAUGCCAGGUGUAGGAGUGAAAUCCGUAGAUAUCUGGAGGAACAUCAGUGGCGAAGGCGACUAUCUGGCACAUAACUGACGCUGAGGAGCGAAAGCGUGGGUAGCAAACAGGAUUAGAUACCCUGGUAGUC